rnacentral:tmRNA from 1 species
GGGGGUGAAUUAGGUUCGACACAGAUGAGAGUGGCAAUGGAAGCGAGCCGAGGUCCCAUGCCUCGUUAAACAGUGGGAACCUAAUUAAACGCAAACGAUAAUUACGCCUUAGCUGCUGCCUAAUAGCAGCUACGCUCUACCUUUCUGUGCCUGCCGGAGAGGAUAGAGUGUCAUACUGCAGGAUACCUUUCUGGGGACGCUCAUAGCCAGAGAGGGAAACCUGAUGAGCUAGUCUCCGUCUAGCCCUGCCCUUGGGGUUAGAUAGAGGCGAAUGCCAAACAAGGGCUACGCUCGUAGAAGACAUUGUGGCUUCAUUUGUGGACAGCGGUGCAACUCCGCUCACCUCCACCA